AGAAGGGACUUCAGUUGUUGUUUAUACAAAAUGUAAAUAUGAAUUCAUUCUCAUCUGUUACUAUAUGAAAAAUUUGGUAUUCACUUUUUAACAGGUGACCCACACAAACGGUGAGAAGAGGUAAAGAGAGAAAGGGGCACAGCAACUGGAAGGAGAGGGAAGUCCAGACACUCUACCACUGUCUGCGAUUGAAUAAGAAAUUUCUCUUUGGAUCAGGGGGUCAAGCUUCUAGUAUGAAGAUUGUUCAAGAGUCACGACUGUUGAAGAGGUGACGUCAUUGACCUGGUAGCACCUGGCAAGGGAACUAAAUUAUAUUACUGUUCACCCUCAAGUAUCCUAAAAACGGUUU